AAAGAAUAGCAAAGAAACAGCACUAACAAAGUUUAGACACAUAAAUUUUGAAAGUCUAGCUACCAUAUUAUUACCCACAAGGGUAAAGGAAUAGCACCACUGCUGGAUAAUUGGAAAGUCCCUGUGUGUCAACCUCUGUGCUCCGUGGUAAGGUAGACUAGCAAACAUGCCCAACCUUUACUCACAUUCGAGAAAACACUCCCAACAAGAUUGCU
rnacentral:lncRNA from 1 species